rnacentral:rRNA from 1 species
UACGUAGGGACCGAGCGUUGUCCGGAAUCAUUGGGCGUAAAGAGCGUGUAGGCGGCCUUUUAAGUCCUGCGUGAAAUCCUGCGGCUCAACCGCAGACGGUCGUGGGAAACUGGAAGGCUAGAGUGCGGGAGAGGAGAGUGGAAUUCCCGGUGUAGCGGUGAAAUGCGCAGAUAUCGGGAAGAACACCCGUGGCGAAGGCGGCUCACUGGACCAUAACUGACGCUGAUGCACGAAAGCUAGGGGAGCAAACAGG